UACGGAGGAUGCGAGCGUUGUCCGGAUUUAUUGGGCGUAAAGCGAGCGCAGGUGGUUUAUUAAGUCUGGUGUAAAAGGCAGUGGCUCAACCAUUGUAUGCAUUGGAAACUGGUAGACUUGAGUGCGGGAGAGGAGAGUGGAAUUCCAUGUGUAGCGGUGAAAUGCGUAGAUAUAUGGAGGAACACCGGUGGCGAAAGCGGCUCUCUGGCCUGUAACUGACACUGAGGCUCGAAAGCGUGGGGAGCAAACAGG
rnacentral:rRNA from 1 species